rnacentral:rRNA from 1 species
GACGAACGCUGGCGGCGUGCCUAAUACAUGCAAGUCGAACGCACUCUCGUUUAGAUUGAAGGAGCUUGCUCCUGAUUGAUAAACAUUUGAGUGAGUGGCGGACGGGUGAGUAACACGUGGGUAACCUGCCCUAAAGUGGGGGAUAACAUUUGGAAACAGAUGCUAAUACCGCAUAAAACCUAACACCGCAUGGUGUAGGGUUGAAAGAUGGUUUCGGCUAUCACUUUAGGAUGGACCCGCGGUGCAUUAGUUAGUUGGUGAGGUAAAGGCUCACCAAGACCGUGAUGCAUAGCCGACCUGAGAGGGUAAUCGGCCACACUGGGACAGAGACACGGCCCAGACUCCUACGGGAGGCAGCAGUAGGGAAUCUUCCACAAUGGACGAAAGUCUGAUGGAGCAACGCCGACGUGAGUGAAGAAGGUUUC